GUCUACAGCCAUACCACCCUGAACACACCUGAUCUUGUCUGAUCUCGUCUGAUCUUGGAAGCUAACUAAGCAAAGUCAGGCCCGGUUAGUACUUGGAUGGGAGACCACCUAGGAAGACCAGAUGCUAUAGGUG
ensembl:rRNA 5S_rRNA 5S ribosomal RNA